UACGUAGGGGGCGAGCGUUGUCCGGAAUUAUUGGGCGUAAAGAGCUCGUAGGCGGUCUGUCACGUCGGCUGUGAAAACCCGAGGCUCAACCUCGGGCCUGCAGUCGAUACGGGCAAACUAGAGUGUUGCAGGGGAGACUGGAAUUCCUGGUGUAGCGGUGAAAUGCGCAGAUAUCAGGAGGAACACCGGUGGCGAAGGCGGGUCUCUGGGCAACAACUGACGCUGAGGAGCGAAAGCGUGGGGAGCGAACAGG
rnacentral:rRNA from 1 species